ensembl:lncRNA
CAUUGACUCAACAGGAAGUUAAAAAGCCCCUUACAAAGCUCAACGCAUGUGUACUUAAACAGGGUCACGGGUAUGAAAUAUAUUAAUAUAUAUAUAUAAAAAAAAAAAAGAGAGAUUGAGAAAGGGCUUUUAUUUCACCAUCUGAAAGCCACUUCCUUGGUGCGCCAGUGUUUGAUGGUACGAGUGUCAGGUGGAGCUUGGGAGGGGGCGGGACAGUGAUCCUGAUUGAAGUGGCUGGAGACAGAUUGACAGUAAUGAGGUUUCGGUUGGUUUAAAGGAGAGGGGGUUGUCUGUCACGGUCUUAAGUGCACUGUGGUGCAGUAAAUUAAUUUCAGACUGAUUUGUAGCCACUCAUCUAUUUAUCCAGGGUGUGUGUGUGUGUGUGUGUGUGUGUGUGUGUGUGUGUGUGGGCCAUUCUGCGACAUCAUCCUAGUGAAACACAACUAGUAGUGUUUUUCUGCUGAGGUGCAGAAACGAGCAGGUGUGUGAAGCGGCCGUUGGUUGACAGCAGGCUGCCGUUUGGUCUGUUAGCGUAGUUCUUGGCACAGAGAGUCACCUGAGACGUGCCAGCACAAGUCACGCUACUCUGAUGAAAUAAAACCCUCCUGCUGCCAGACUGUCAGGUAGAAAUAAAUCUAAUCAGGAGAUAAGAGGUUCCCACGCUUCAUGAAGCAGCCUGAGAAACCACCAGCAGGACUUUCACUCGCUCCAACACACGUAAAUCUACUUAAACAGAACAAAUUGACUUACAUAAAUAAAUAAAUAAAUAAAUAAAUAAAUGAACAGAUUACUGAAAAAAAAGAAUAAUUAUGAACACCACAAAUAGCAAAGAAGGGGGACAAAAUGGGGGAGAGGAGGUGAGGAAGGAAGGAAGGGGAGAGAGGAAAGAAGGAGGAAUGAAGGAAGGGGAGAGAGGAAGGAAGGAAGGGGAGAGAGGAAAGAAGGAGGAAUGAAGGACGGGGAGAGAGGAAAGAAGGAGGAAUGAAGGACGGGGAGAGAGGAAAGAAGGAGGAAUGAAGGAAGAGGAGAGAGGAAAGAAGGAGGAAUGAAGGAAGAGGAGAGAGGAAAGAAGGAGGAAUGAAGGAAGAGGAGAGAGGAAAGAAGGAGGAAUGAAGGACGGGGGAGAGAGGAAAGAAGGAGGAAUGAUGGAAGAGGAGAGAGGAAAGAAGGAGGAAUGAUGGAAGAGGAGAGAGGAAAGAAGGAGGAAUGAAGCGGAGAGAGGAAUGAAAGAGGAAUGAAGGAAGAGGAGAGAGGAAAGAAGGAGGAAUGAAGCGGAGAGAGGAAUGAAAGAGGAAUGAAGGAAGAGGAGAGAGGAAAGAAGGAGGAAUGAAGGAAGAGGAGAGAGGAAGGAAGGAGGAAUGAAGGAAGGGGAGAGAGGAAGGAAGGAAGGAAGAGGAGAGAGGAAGGAAGGAAGGGGGAGAGGAAAGAAGGAGGAAUGAAGGAAGAGGAGAGAGGAAAGAAGGAGGAAUGAAGCGGAGAGAGGAAUGGAAGAGGAAUGAAGGAAGAGGAGAGAGGAAAGAAGGAGGAAUGAAGGAAGAGGAGAGAGGAAAGAAGGAGGAAUGAAGCGGAGAGAGGAAUGGAAGAGGAAUGAAGGAAGAGGAGAGAGGAAAGAAGGAGGAAUGAAGGAAGAGGAGAGAGGAAGGAAGGAGGAAUGAAGGAAGAGGAGAGAGGAAGGAAGGAGGAAUGAAGGAAGGGGAGAGAGGAAGGAAGGAAGAGGAGAGAGGAAGGAAGGAAGGGGAGAGGAAAGAAGGAGGAAUGAAGGAAGGGGAGAGAGGAAGGAAGGAAGGAGGAAUGAAGUGGAGAGAGGAAUGAAAGAGGAAAGAAAUGGAGAAAAAAAGGAAGGAAUGAAGAAAGGAAUGAAGGACAGAAAGAAAGACAGGGAGAGAAAAGGAAAAGACUGAAAAAGUGAUGAGUAGGUAAAAAAAAAGUGUCAAACGCACAAAAAGGAAAGUGGGAAAGAGAGAAAAGAAAAGCACAGAGGAGAGAGAGAGAGAGAACAGAAGACAAGUCAUUGCUGAUGCUAUUAUGAAUCACUAAGUGAGGCAGUUGGAGGCGUGUCUUGUGGGCCGGGCUUAGAGGGUUGUGGAGUUUAUGUGCUAAAAGCAGCUUCAAAGCAUUUCCACACCACCUGAAUUUCUUGGGACAGAAAGUAAUUCAUCAUCAAAUGGGAACAAAGUAGAAAUACAUAGUGGGGGAAUUAAGUAUUGAAUGAGUCAGCAUCUUUUUCAGUAUUUCCAAUGAGGCUAUUCACAUGAAUUUUUCACCAGACAUCAGAAUUAACUCAAGAAAUCCACACAUAUAAAGACAUCCAAACAUUAAAGACCAUAAAUAAAGUUGUGUAAUAAAGCGGAAUGACACAGGAAAAAAAAGUAUUGAACACGCUAACUGAAAUGUAUUUAAUACUUCGCGGAGAAGCCUUUGUUUGUACUGACCGCCUCAAGACACUUCCUGUAUGAAGAAAUUAAUGGGCCGCAGUAUUCAGGUGUGAUUUUGGUCCAUUCUUCUAAACAUAUUGUCUUUAAAUCUUGUUCAAUUGGAUUCGAGUCAGGUGAUUGACUCGGCCAUUCUAACGCCUUGAUAUUUUUUCUCUGAAACCAAUUAAAAGUUUCCUUUGCUGUAUGCUUUGGAUCGUUGUCCUGCUGGAAGCUCCACCCACGUCUCAUCUUCAUCAUCCUGGUGGAUGGCAGCAGAUUCCUCUCAAGAAUCUCCCGGUAAAGGGCUCCAUUCAUCGUUCCUUCAAUUAUAUGAAGUCUGUCAGUACCAUACAAUGAAAAACAGCCCCACACCAUGAUGCUUCACCUCCACACUUCACUGAUGGUACAGUGUUUUUAGGCUGAUGUGCAGCGCCAUUUCUUCUCCAAACAUGGUGUUUAGUAUCACAGCCAAAAAGUUAAAUUUUGCUCUGACCAGACUACACUCUCCAGUAUUUCAUAGGCUUGUCCAAAUGAGUUGUAGCAAACUUUAAACGAGCUUCAGCAUGCCUUUUCUUUAGUAAUGGAGUCUUGCGUGGUGAGCGUGAGCAUUGGAGUGCAUUGCCUAUUGUUUUCUCUGUGACGAUGGUACCUGCUGCCUCCAAGUGUUUCUGGAGCGCUUUCCGAGUGGUCCUUGGCUCUUGCGCUACUCUUCUGACUUUUCUUCUGACUCCCUGGUCAGAAAUCUUGCGAGGAGCUCCUGUGCGUGGCCGGUUGAUGACGGAGUGAUGUUGCUUCCAC